UAAAAAUAAGCUAAUAAAGCUUUUAGGUUCAUACCCUAAAUAUAGAUUAUAAAUCUUUUUUAU
rnacentral:tRNA from 1 species